rnacentral:tRNA from 1 species
GUAAAAUUAGUUUAUAUAAAAUACUAAGUUGUGGGCUUAGAGAAAAAAGUUAUUUUAUUUUACU